GAAGGGGCACAGCGUUCCCAAAGAGACAUGGAGCUACAGGAGAGCUGCGCUGAGGCUGAAACACAGAACUCCAUUCUCUCGAGUUCCAGAGGAACCGUUCCCGGGCUGUAUGUGUAAUCCUUGCUGUGCAAGUAAUACUGUGGUAAGAGCAGCCCUGCCAUGGGGUGGAGCAGAAACAGAAAGAGAGGCCAGCUAUUGAUCUUGGACACAGGAAGGAGCUUUCAUAUUCUCCACAAGCUACAGAUGGUCAAAAGGGUCCUGAGAGGAAGAGACAAAAGGCAACUGCAGGAGAACUCCAGAGGGUAACAGGUCACACAAGGUGUGUCCCAGGGACCCACUAACACCACUGAAAAGGAUGCGUGAGAACAGCAGCUGCUGCUUGCUUUGCCACCUUUCCUCCAACCUUCUGAAACUGUUGCCUAUACUUCCUACCUCAGAAGUAGGUAAGCUCUGUGAGCCAUAUUCCAGCACAAUCACCAAACAAAAGGAUCUGCCAAGCUGUCCGUGCUGCCUUCAGGUCUACAAACUAAAAACACAGAGCUCACAUGUAAGAGGGCAGAGGAAGGCAUCAUAAGACAAGGAGAGCAAAGUCCUGCACCUAAGCCAACUGUUUGAUGAUUGAAACCAGUGCAAUCUCUCUCUCUGGACAAUUUUGUGGACUUUCUGAAAACUGAAUUUUCCAUGUAACAGAUAAUUGUUGCAGAAAACACAAAGCAUAAGCCCUAAGUUGUCUUCAGUACAGUCCUGUGCUUGGUCAGAUUUUCUUCUGGGAAGCACUAUCCUUUUUCAUCUCCAGUCAAAAUACAGGUAAACACACAAAAUAAUCCUCAUUUCUCCAUAGCUCACACAUACUGUGUUUUCAUUAGAACAAAAGCCAUACCUUUUAAUUAACUUUCCUAGGAAGCUUAAAAUUGUCUUCAGUGAUGAAGUUAUGGCUGUAGGUAAACAGGAUCACACUUCUCCCCCGAGGGCUGCUGAUCACUCACAAGUCUCUGCCGCCAAGUGGGACUUACUGAGCUCCGCGUUCCGCUCUUCCCAACACGAGGACAUCCAGGCCCUGGCCAUUCCUCAUCCUGAAAUAGAUGAAUGCUUUUUUUCAGUAUGUAUAUAUUAACAUACUGACCAAAAUUAAAAUGUGAGCAAU
rnacentral:lncRNA from 7 species